GAAAACUUCAAAUAUCUCCACAGGGCUCCCAACAGUUAUAUCCUGCAACAACAUGGGGCAGCAUUGCUGAUAUUCCACCAAUGCGGAACUUUUGCCCCCACCGACAAUCAAAUUGGCUUCUGGUUUAACGUCAUGAACAAAAUACAAGGCUCCAACAUUGCAAUAUCCUCCCGAUGUCUGUAGAUAAAGUAAUCUCAGAAUCAUACUGUAUAAAAGAGGCCCUUCAAUCCGGCAAGACUGCAUCAAUAAAAGCUACUAA